rnacentral:rRNA from 1 species
UACGGGGGGGGCAAGCGUUGUUCGGAAUUACUGGGCGUAAAGGGUGCGUAGGCGGCGCGGUAAGUCGGGUGUGAAAUCUCGGAGCUUAACUCCGAAACUGCAUUCGAUACUGCCGUGCUUGAGGACUGGAGAGGAGACUGGAAUUUACGGUGUAGCGGUGAAAUGCGUAGAUAUCGUGAGGAACACCAGAGGCGAAGGCGGCUUCCUGGACAAUUGCUGACGCUCAGGCACGAAAGCGUGGGGAGCAAAAGGG